GAGUUUGAUCCUGGCUCAGAUUGAACGCUGGCGGCAUGCCUUACACAUGCAAGUCGAACGGCAGCACGGGAGCAAUCCUGGUGGCGAGUGGCGAACGGGUGAGUAAUACGUCGGAACGUGCCCUGUAGUGGGGGAUAACUAGUCGAAAGACUAGCUAAUACCGCAUACGACCUGAGGGUGAAAGUGGGGGACCGCAAGGCCUCAUGCUAUAGGAGCGGCCGAUGUCUGAUUAGCUAGUUGGUGGGGUAAAGGCCUACCAAGGCGACGAUCAGUAGCUGGUCUGAGAGGACGAUCAGCCACACUGGGACUGAGACACGGCCCAGACUCCUACGGGAGGCAGCAGUGGGGAAUUUUGGACAAUGGGGGCAACCCUGAUCCAGCAAUGCCGCGUGUGUGAAGAAGGCCUUCGGGUUGUAAAGCACUUUUGUCCGGGAAGAAAUCGCACCUGAUAAUACCGGGUGUGGAUGACGGUACCGGAAGAAUAAGGACCGGCAACUACGUGCCAGCAGCCGCGGUAAUACGUAGGGUCCAAGCGUUAAUCGGAAUUACUGGGCGUAA
rnacentral:rRNA from 1 species